AUACCGGAGACGACGCGUGACCGCAUGGUCUGCGCGUGGAAAGGGUCUACUGGUCAAGGAUGGACCCGCGGCCUAUCAGCUAGUUGGUGGGGUAGUGGCCUACCAAGGCGACGACGGGUAGCCGGCCUGAGAGGGCGACCGGCCACACUGGGACUGAGACACGGCCCAGACUCCUACGGGAGGCAGCAGUGGGGAAUAUUGCACAAUGGGCGCAAGCCUGAUGCAGCAACGCCGCGUGAGGGACGACGGCCUUCGGGUUGUAAACCUCUUUCAGCUUCGACGAAGCUCUGCUCUUCUGAGCAGAGUGACUGUAGAAGAAAAAGAAGCACCGGCUAACUACGUGCCAGCAC
rnacentral:rRNA from 1 species